rnacentral:misc_RNA from 1 species
UAUUAUACAGUAAUUUUCUUUCCUAAUAUUCUGAACCCAAACAAAAACAAGAAGAAAAUAUUGAAAUAAAAAUCACUAAAUGCUAGUAGUUUUCAUACGUUAAUUACUUCACAUUGCAGUAAACUAGCUAGGUAGUUUGCGGCUGUUGUGGCUGAUGGUUCUGGUGAAUGGCCAAUAGCUGGUUUAAUACGUACUUACGAUUUAAAAAAGAAGAGAAGUUUGAUCUUUUCUGCAUCUCUUUGAAGCUUAAGAAGCAAGAAAUAAAGCUGCUUUCAACUAAAUUUUAAAGGACUGUGCUUUGCUCCAAGCUGGAAAGUGUUCCAGGACUCAGAAGAGGAAAAGAACACCAGCCAUGGGUUGAUGGAGACAAGAGGUUCAAUUCGAGCGAAGGCGAAGCUACUACACUAUCAGAAAUCUUCUUGAGUUUGGGAUCAGUUGUAUCAGACAUCAACUCCUGAAAUAAAGCAGAAAAUGGGGUUUUCACAGGGGAAGGAAGGAGCUGCAAAGGUGCUGCUGCUGCGAACUCUCUGCUAAACAAUGCCGGUUUGUCUUUAUCAAGAACAAGCGGAGGAGGCGCCACACGUUGGAGCCGCUGUUGAGGCUGCGACGGCUCAGGUGCACCGGUGAGCUUUUGAACAAGAUCCUUGAAGUUUAUAGGGUCGACCUUGUACACUCUUGGUGGGGUUGGUGCCAAUGGUGCUAUAGGUUUCUUCCAUGGCUUCAACUGGGGCUUACGAACCGCAUGAAGCAAUUGCGAUACUUUUAGGCCCUUUCCUUCACGUGGGUAUUGGGAAAUAUACAUUGGUGAGGAAGAGGAAGAAGAAUAGCUAGAAGAAUAAGCAUCCAUAGUGAGAAACUGGCUUGUUAUCUGCGAGAGAAAUGAAGGUGUUUGAUAUAUUGUGUGCUCCUUCUAUUUUCCCUCCAGAAAA